rnacentral:rRNA from 1 species
CCCCUAGAUGUUCUGGGCCGCACGCGCGCUACACUGAACAGUUCAACAAGUCUUAACCUUGGCCGAUAGGUCUGGGUAAUCUUUGAACGCUGUUCGUGAUUGGGAUAGACCUUUGCAAUUAUGGGUCUUCAACGAGGAAUUCCUAGUAAACGCAAGCCAUCAGCUUGCAUUGAUUACGUCCCUGCCCUUUGUACACACCGCCCGUCGCACCUACCGAUUGAGUGAUCCGGUGAAUUAUUCGGACUGCAACGCGCCCAGUUCCUGGAUGCUGUUGCGGUAAGUUUUGUGAACCUUACCACUUAGAGGAAGGAGAAGUCGUAACA